GCUUAAUGAAGGAAACCUUGUGCUUGGAGCAUUGCGUAAGAUUACCUCACAGGAUAAAUAUGCAUUAGCAAAAAGCCUGGGAACAGCUGCUCUGCAGCCACAGGAAGGCCUUUUGGAGAGAGCUGGGGUCAGAGAAGGGGAAGCAAUGUCAAAGGUGUGGUUCUUGUUUGUACUGAAAACCUGCAUGAGAACUUUUGCUAGACCAAGGGUCCUGACGGUGCAAGAUUCCUUCCCACAUGGCUGAAGUUCAACCUUUGAAGUUCAGGACAAGUCCCCCUUUGCUGGAACAUCUCUCAAUGUUCUUCAUGUUCUUAAAUAAGAAAGAUGCUCCUCAUAUGAUGACUUCUAAUGAGCUAGAAUUGCAGAAUUCACAGUUGACUUUUCUGGUGUCACUGCAUAUAUUUAACUGAUAAGAAGCAGGAGGCAGCAUGCUUAGA